rnacentral:lncRNA from 1 species
UUUCCCUCUAGACAUUUUUCUGAAAAGUUUUCAUAUAAAACCAAACCAGCUGAAAGAAAAAUUGUACAUUCUACAUGAAGACGGUGGCGGACUUACCGAUGAGCAGAUUACAGCCCUAAGAAGAUAUCUGCCAACUCCAAAAGAUUUAGAAAUGUAUCAGUCUGUCAAGGGAUCUCCUUCAGAGCUGCAUGUGGUUGAUCAGUUUAUGCUAGAGAUGUGUAAAAUUCCUCAUUUAGGCCAAAGAUUGGAUCUCUUGCUUACGAUACGAGAACUUCCCUUGUGCAUGGGUGAUCUGGAGCCUCUAAUAAACCAGAAGAUCCGAGCGUGCAAAGAGCUGCAAGCCAGCCAGAAAUUUGUUGCUGUGUUGGAGUACAUCUUAGCCAUUGGGAACUACUUAAAUGAAAAAGCUGGAAGAGAGAUGGCUAAAGGAUUUCGAUUGUCUUCUUUGACCAAAUUAUCGCUGCUGCGGGGUAAGGAGAGGAUCACCUUGCUUCAUGCCCUUGUGGAACAGAUCUUCUUACAUGAGCCUGAUUUGGCUAAAUUUUCUCAGGAGUUGACAGAAUUUGAAGCUGUUCCUGGUGGUAAGAGGAUAAAAAAAAACCUUUUGCAAAAGUCCCCAUCUUCACAUUAUGUGCAUAAUUUUUAUUAA